rnacentral:misc_RNA from 1 species
UACUGCUGUGGGGGUAGCAC